rnacentral:rRNA from 1 species
CAUGUCUAAGUAUAAGCGACUAUACUGUGAAACUGCGAAUGGCUCAUUAAAUCAGUUAUGGUUUAUUUGAUGGUACCUACUACUUGGAUAACCGUAGUAAUUCUAGAGCUAAUACAUGCAGGAAGACCCGACUUCGGAAGGGUUGUAUUCAUUAGAUAAGAAACCAAUCCAGCUUGCUGGUUGAGUGCCGAGUCACAAUAACUGCUCGAAUCGCAUGACUUUACGUCGGCGAUGGUUCAUUCAAAUUUCUGCCCUAUCAGCUUUCGAUGGUAGGAUCGAGGCCUACCAUGGCGUUUACGGGUAACGGAGAAUUAGGGUUCGAUUCCGGAGAGGGAGCCUGAGAAAUGGCUACCACAUCCAAGGAAGGCAGCAGGCGCGUAAAUUGCCCGAAUCCUGACACAGGGAGGUAGUGACAAGAAAUAACGAUACAGGGCUACAUCUAGCCUUGUAAUUGGAAUGAGUACAAUUUACACCUCUUAACGAUGAUCAAUUGGAGGGCAAGUCUGGUGCCAGCAGCCGCGGUAAUUCCAGCUCCAAUAGCGUAUAUUAAAGUUGUUGCAGUUAGAACGCUCGUAGUCGGAUUUCGGGGCAGUCCGACCGGUCUGCCGAUGGAUAUGCACUGGCCGGAGUGUCCUUUUUGCCGGAGACCGUGCCUACUCUUAACUGAGCGGGGGCGGGAGACGGCACUUUUACUUUGAAAAAAUCAGAGUGUUUCAAGCAGGCAGCUCGCUCUUGCAUGGAUUAGCAUGGGAUAAUGAAAUAGGACUUUGGUGCUAUUUUG